UGUCUUCACCUUCGGCAUUUUCUUUUUAUCAGACAUCAAAACAGAAACAUCAGUUUCUCUCAUAAUAACAUCCUCAAAGCCAAGUCAUAUACAAACCAGUUUUGGACAUUCCAAUGACUCAUCAAUGUAAAUAAUCUAAUUUGUGUUGUCAAUUAGCUAAUCUUUUAGCACUUGUUCUGCAUACAAUAUUUUCCACGUUUCAUUUCCUUGUCACAAAUCCUAUGCCAAGUAUAAUCCACCACAUAAUUUAUCUUUUUUAGGAAAAAUCCUAUGCCAAGUAUAAUCCUACGCCAACUUCUCAAAAUUGUCUAUUAAGCUCAUAUUCUCUAAUUGUGUGUCAUUCAGAAUGUUAUUUUAAAUCUUUUGUAAACAAAUUUCCCUUUUUAUUUUUUUCUCCAUCCAUGCUAAUAAAUAAGUCUCCAAUGUCCUUAAAUUGGAGAAUCUUUGGUUCAAUAGCAUACAAUUGCAGAAUAGGCGAUGAAUAAACAAAAUUUGAAAAGUUCAGGUCUUGGAAAUGGAUUUUGCCUUCUUUUACUUUUAAAUUUGUUAACACGCAAUGGUAGAGGGAAAGACUCACAAAUCACAUAUUUGGGCAAAUCGAAAACCAACAAUAAGUAUUAUAUACCUAAAGUGUUUUCAAAGACAUACAAACAAGCUCAAUUGAAUGCGAUGCUGAAGCCAUUAAGCUAAGCUGCUGUUCUGAAACAAUUGGCAGGAAUCACCAAAUUGCAGGCCACAACUUUUUAUUUAUAAUAACAAAAGUAGAAAAUGAUCAAGCAAAUGGGAAAUUUCAUAUUUUAGGAUUUUCAUCUUCAGUUCUUAAUUAGUAUAAAUAUAUUCAACUUCUAAAGGAAAACGUGCCCUAAACUUUCAUAGACAAAAUGACUACCCAAAUUAACCAUAGAAAUUGCAAUCCUCUAAUAAAAUUCAAGGAACCUGAACGAAGAUUAAUAUAUAUAUAUAUAUAUUGAUCAUACCUUCAAAUUUAAAUGAGAGCGAAG
rnacentral:misc_RNA from 1 species